GAUGAACGCUGGCGGCGUGCUUAAUACAUGCAAGUCGAGCGAACAGACGUGCUUUUCGUUCUUCUUUCGUUAGCGGCGGAUGGGUGAGUAAUACGUAACAAAUCAGUGUUCUACACCCGGCUUAGUUCGAGAAAUGGGAGCCAAUAUCUGAUAACCUAUUGAACUGCGUGGUGCUGUAGUGAAUGGCGGACUUUUUGCUACUUGUUGAUGGUUCCGUGCCGCAUUAUCUAGUUGGUAAGGUAACGGCUUACCAAGGCAACGAUGCGUAGCCGACCUGGGAGGGUGAUCGGCCACACUGGAACUGAGACACGGUCCAGACUCCUACGGGAGGCAGCAGUAGGGAAUCUUCCGCAAUGGGCGAAAGCCUGACGGAGCAACGCCGCGUGAGUGAUGAAGGUCUUCGGAUCGUAAAACUCUGUUAUUAGGGAAGAACAAAUGUGUAAGUAACUAUGCACGUCUUGACGGUACCUAAUCAGAAAGCCACGGCUAACUACGUG
rnacentral:rRNA from 1 species